rnacentral:sRNA from 1 species
GGAAAGAGGUCUGUUGAGCUUGACUCUG